CCUACGGGUGGCAGCAGUGAGGAAUAUUGGUCAAUGGACGCAAGUCUGAACCAGCCAUGCCGCGUGCAGGAAGACGGCUCUAUGAGUUGUAAACUGCUUUUGUACGGGGGUCAACGAUGAUACGCGUAUCUGUCUGCAAGUAUCGUACGCAUAAGGGAUGGCUAACUUCGUGCCAGCAGCCGCGGGAAUACGGAGGCUUCAAGCGUUAACCGGAUUUAAUGGGGUUCAAGGUGGGGUAGGGGGGCGGAUAAGUUAGAGGUGAAAUCCUCAGGCGCAACUUCGGAAUUGCCUCUGAUACUGGUGGGCUUGAGUGUGGUAGAGGUAGGCGGAAUGCGUGGUGUAGCGGUGAAAUGCUUAGAGAUCAUGCAGAACACCGAUUGCGAAGGCAGCAUACC
rnacentral:rRNA from 1 species